CGGACGGGUGAGUAAUGUCUGGGAAACUGCCUGAUGGAGGGGGAUAACUACUGGAAACGGUAGCUAAUACCGCAUAACGUCGCAAGACCAAAGAGGGGGACCUUCGGGCCUCUUGCCAUCGGAUGUGCCCAGAUGGGAUUAGCUAGUAGGUGGGGUGACGGCUCACCUAGGCGACGAUCCCUAGCUGGUCUGAGAGGAUGACCAGCCACACUGGAACUGAGACACGGUCCAG
rnacentral:rRNA from 1 species